rfam:Glossina pallidipes unplaced genomic scaffold Scaffold493, whole genome shotgun sequence.
UGUGGGGGGGUAGUUUUUUAGUACGUAGGCGCCAGGGAUGGCGAAUCGUGCAUGCUGCUACUAACAACCAGCAGUAUCUUUCGAAGAUUUUCUACCUCCUGCUCAC